rnacentral:ncRNA from 1 species
UUAAAAGUUAUGAGAGGGAGGAAAAUAAGAUAUAUUGAUUACAGAGAAUCGGAAUUGCUGAGAACCGAUAUCUAAAAAUUAUUUUUGUAGCCCUUGAACUGCAGUGUUGAAAGUAGUAAAUGCUGUCGGAAUCUUUUUAAUGCAUCCGUUAUCAAAUGCAGAAGUAUAAAUGAUUAUUCAUCAGGCGUACUUAAGAGACUGUAUACCAGUAAAUUUGGGUGGUACCACGUGAGAUAACUCUCGUCCCUAUU